rnacentral:rRNA from 1 species
UACGGGGGGCGCAAGCGUUGUUCGGAUUUACUGGGCGUAAAGGGCGCGUAGGCGGCGCAACAAGUCACUUGUGAAAUCUCCGGGCUUAACCCGGAGCGGCCAAGUGAUACUGUCGUGCUAGAGUGCGGAAGGGGCUACUGGAAUUCUCGGUGUAGCGGUGAAAUUCGUAGAUAUCGGGAGGAACACCAGGGGCGAAGGCGGCGACCUGGGCCAAUAUUGACGCUGAGGUGCGAAAGCGUGGGGAGCAACAGG